rnacentral:tRNA from 1 species
UAAAGCACACAAAUAAGUAUUUUUAUAAGAUACCGUUCUUAAUYGGUAAGUGGUUUAA